rnacentral:rRNA from 1 species
GAUGAACGCUGGCGGCGUGCCUAAUACAUGCAAGUCGAGCGAACAGACGAGGAGCUUGCUCCUUCGACGUUAGCGGCGGACGGGUGAGUAACACGUAGGUAACCUACCUAUAAGACUGGGAUAACUUCGGGAAACCGGAGCUAAUACCGGAUAAUAUUUCGAACCGCAUGGUUCGAUAGUGAAAGAUGGCUUUGCUAUAACUUAUAGAUGGACCUGCGCCGUAUUAGCUAGUUGGUAAGGUAACGGCUUACCAAGGCAACGAUACGUAGCCGACCUGAGAGGGUGAUCGGCCACACUGGAACUGAGACACGGUCCAGACUCCUACGGGAGGCAGCAGUAGGGAAUCUUCCGCAAUGGGCGAAAGCCUGACGGAGCAACGCCGCGUGAGUGAUGAAGGUCUUCGGAUCGUAAAACUCUGUUAUUAGGGAAGAACAAACGUGUAAGUAACUGUGCACGUCUUGACGGUACCUAAUCAGAAAGCCACGGCUAACUACGUG